AAGUACUAUGUUGAAGUUAUUUAUGAUUUUUUCAGGUGAGCAACAGAUACAUUUCCCAGCUGAAGGAUUCCCACCGAAGUCAUCCAUUCAUUAAAGACUAUCUACACAAGCAAAGUGAAUUUGAAAGAAUCUCAAGGAAUUACUCAGCAACGGUUGCAUCAUAGCCACUUACAAGGAUUUUAUGUUGUUGAUUGGACACAGGUUUUCUCGGGAACAACUUGACAAAAAUCAAGGAUCAGAUAUCAAGAUUCCAGACUGCAGCCAUAUUGAACAGCUUCAAGUGAACCACUACAUAGCUUAUCCUUUGAGGAACAUCAUCUGUUGGGAAAAGCUUGGACAUUUCCAUAGCAAAAUGUCCGUUAUGUACCAGAUAUACCUUUGCUGUAAUUGGAUGACCUGAACAUUAAAUCUCAAGCAUGCUGGUCGACCUUGAUUCUUAAUUGACAAACAAUUCUGAAAGGCAAAUAACUUGUGAAAAAUGAGCAAUCACUUGCCUUUAAAUAUUUGAAAUAAAAAAAAAGUAAGUUGGUGAAUUGAAUAUCUUCUGUGAUGGUUUAAUGCAAAAGUUUGUAAAAUUAUAGAUUUGGAACAGUCGUGUUGUUUGACAACAAAUGAUAAGUUAUAUUUAUAUUUCAUCAGUUUGGGAUAUUGUCAUUUUGUGUACAUAUUUCAGUUAUAUGUUGUGGUCAUUAAAUAUGUGAUAACCAUUGUGA